CUUCACAUGGCUGUGACAAGCUCACAAUGCCAUCCGUCCAGUUCCAAGCUUCAAUCGACAUACGAAGACUCACACCAAGUGCAGUGGAUGAAUAGAAAACACCUGUCACCUUUUGAUUGGAUUCCAAGCUACAGAUCAACAUUAAAAAGAAAAAACUAAACUGAUCGUUGUGAAAUGGAGAUAUCCAUUUUGCUCAAAAAGAAAACA
rnacentral:lncRNA from 1 species